rnacentral:tRNA from 1 species
UGGCCCCUUGGUCAAGCGGUUAAGACACCGCCCUUUCACGGCGGUAACACGGGUUCGAGUCCCGUAGGGGUCAUUGA